rnacentral:sRNA from 1 species
CAUACAGGAGUUGGGGGAGCCAGGGCCCAUGAGGGGUGGGGAGGCUAACCGGGCCAGGACUCUGGCCAUCCUCGUUUUCUUGCCCUCAGGUGAGCGUCCACGUGUCCCCAGUGGAGGGGCUGUGCCUGGCUGGGGGCGGAGGGCUGGCCCAGCAGGUGCUGGUGCCUGCGGGCUCUGCCCGGCCUGUUGCCUUCUCUGUGGUGCCCACGGCAGCCGCCGCUGUGUCUCUGAAGGUGGUGGCUCGAGGGUCCUUCGAGUUCCCUGUGGGAGAUGCGGUGUCUAAGGUGCUGCAGAUUGAGAAGGAAGGGGCCAUCCAUACAGAGGAGCUGGUCUAUGAACUGAACCCCUGGACCACCGAGGCCGGACCUUGGAAAUUCCUGGCAACUCUGAUCCCAAUAUGAUCCCUGAUGGGGACUUUAACAGCUACGUCAGGGUUACAGCCUCAGAUCCACUGGACACUUUA